AACCACCACCAGCAACAUCAGCACAUGUCUUUGAGCAAUAAUUUCCAUAAAGAUUUUGUGCAAACAUUCAUGCCUGGUAAUCAUUUCAACCACAAAGUUUGUGAAGAAACAGAAGGAGAAGAUGUUGAGUUAAGGCUUGGACUCUCGUUGAAUGGUAGAUUUGGUGUCGACCCAAAAGCUAACAAGCUCACUGGAUCAUCUUCAAUUCCAGAUUUUAUUAACCCAGCAAGAGAUAAUGGCAGUGCUUUUAUGGUACCUUUGGUGGAGUAAAAAUCUUGUAAGGACUUGGUCUCUGCCUACAUUGACUGAUGAGGAGUGGAGGAAGAGGAAGGAGCUGCAGAUGCUUAGGAGAAUGGUCCAAAUGGAGGCUAAAAGGAAACGAUCAGAGAAACAAAGGAAUUUGAAGGCACUAAAUGAUAGAAAUAAGGGUUUUGGAGAAGAGAGCUACGAGGAAGAUAAGAGAGAAAAUGGCACCAUUAGCAAGAAUCAUAAGGGGCAGUUUGUCAAGAAUCUCAAUGGGCUGUUUGGAGCUGGUGCAGAAGGGCUUUUACCGCGAGCGCUAGUGACAGCACCAUCAUCUCAAGGGUCGAUUGGAUCACAG
rnacentral:misc_RNA from 1 species